GACGAACGCUGGCGGCGUGCUUAACACAUGCAAGUCGAACGAUGAAGCUGGAGCUUGCUCCGGUGGAGUAGUGGCGAACGGGUGAGUAACACGUGAGCAAUCUGCCCUUGACCCUGGCAUAACUGCGGGAAACUGUAGCUAAUACCGGAUACGAGGUGUGGAGGCAACUCCGGAUUGGGAAAGAAUUUCGGUCAAGGAUGAGCUCGCGGCCUAUCAGCUUGUUGGUGAGGUAAUGGCUCACAAAGGCGACGACGGGUAGCCGGCCUGAGAGGGUGACCGGCCACACUGGGACUGAGACACGGCCCAGACUCCUACGGGAGGCAGCAGUGGGGAAUAUUGCACAAUGGGCGAAAGCCUGAUGCAGCAACGCCGCGUGAGGGAUGAAGGCCUUCGGGUUGUAAACCUCUUUUAGUAGGGAAGAAACGAAAGUGACGGUACCUACAGAAAAAGCACCGGCUAACUACGUGCCAGCAGCCGCGGUAA
rnacentral:rRNA from 1 species